AGAGGCCCAGGGGCCACCCAGGUGCCCCAUGGGCAGGGAGCAGCCCCCAGUUGGCAGAUGCUGGGAGAGCCCCAGCCCCGUUCCAGUCCAGAGACAAAAGCUGGAGUGUGUAAAGUCUGGCAGUUUGAUCUGCAGGGCCAGCUCCGACUCCUCCAGAACCCGACGCUGUGCAGUCUCCUUUUUCAGGAACUCGAUCUCCCUGGGCACAGGCAAGGGACAGAUGGCAGGGCCCCAUGCCAGCGUGUGAUGAUGACACAGUCACUGGUUUGCAGAUGCACAAGAACAACGAUCAACUAUGGCUUUGCCCAUCAUGGUGAUGAGAACAAUACUGGACAUCUAGAAGGUGCUGGAUCUCUGCCUCAGUGACCGCAGACCUGGUACUUUGUCUACCUGCGUAACAUUCACAAGGCCAGAGGAUUAAGUCCACAGGGAACAGCUCCAACCUCUCCACACGCUUCUCCAGCUCGUACUCAGCAGAGGCUGCCAUGGGAUCCACAUCCUCGUUGCGACGAUCGUAAUCCUCGUUGGAGGGGCCCAGGAGACUGAGGAGGGGACAGCCUCUGACACUGCCCACAGCGAACCCAGGCGCCAUGGGGCUCCGAGGCCACCCCUGCCUUGGCAUCUCCUGUACCCCUCUGUUGUCUCUCUCCAAUGUCUCUCAGCAAAAAGAGGAAUUCCUCAG
rnacentral:lncRNA from 1 species